rnacentral:rRNA from 1 species
GAUUUCUGGCUUGAAACAUUUGGCCGGCCACGGUUUCGUGUGUUAGUGCUUUAUGUUCUGGCCAUCCUUCCAAUCGCUAUAUACCUUUCUUCAUUGAUGGGUGUGUGGUAUUGGAUCUUUUACUUUGAAAAAAUUAGAGUGUUUCAAGCAGGCUUUAUGCUAUGAAUACAUUAGCAUGGAAUAAUAAUUUAGGACUUCGGUUCUAUUUUGUUGGUUUCUAGGACUGAAGUAAUGAUUGAUAGGGAUAGUUGGGGGUGCUAGUAUUCAGUGCGAAGAGGUGAAAUUCUUGGAUUCACUGAAGACUAACUAAUGCGAAAGCAUU